GCCAGCCCGCUCAGAAACUUAAAGGAAUUGACGGGGGCCCGCACAAGCGGCGGAGCAUGUGGAUUAAUUCGAUGCAACGCGAAGAACCUUACCUGGGUUUGACAUACACCGGAAAACCGUAGAGAUACGGUCCCCCUUGUGGUCGGUGUACAGGUGGUGCAUGGCUGUCGUCAGCUCGUGCCGUGAGAUGUUGGGUUAAGUCCCGCAACGAGCGCAACCCUUGUCUUAUGUUGCCAGCACGUGAUGGUGGGGACUCGUAAGAGACUGCCGGGGUCAACUCGGAGGAAGGUGGGGACGACGUCAAGUCAUCAUGCCCCUUAUGUCCAGGGCUUCACACAUGCUACAAUGGCCAGUACAGAGGGCUGCGAGACCGUGAGGUGGAGCGAAUCCCUUAAAGCUGGUCUCAGUUCGGAUCGGGGUCUGCAACUCGACCCCGUGAAGUCGGAGUCGCUAGUAAUCGCAGAUCAGCAACGCUGCGGUGAAUACGUUCCCGGGCCUU
rnacentral:rRNA from 1 species